rnacentral:rRNA from 1 species
GGUUUUUAGUUUAUAAUUUAAAAUUUGGCCUGCUCAAUGAAAUUUAAAUAGCUGCAGUAUUUUGACUGUACAAAGGUAGCAUAAUCAUUAGUUUCUUAAUUAGAAUCUUGUAUGAAGGGUUGGACGAGAAAUAAUCUGUCUUAAUUUAAUUUUAUUAAAAUUUAUUUUUAAGUUAAAAAGCUUAAAUUUAGUUAAAAGACGAGAAGACCCUAUAGAGUUUUAUAUAUAUUAUUAAUAAUUUAAUUUAAGAAUUUAAUAUAUUUAUUUUAAUUUAUAUUUAAUUGGGGUAGUUUAAAAAUUUAAUUAAUUUUUUAUUUUUUAUUACAUUAAUUUAUGUAUAUUUGAUCCAGUAAUAUUGAUUAAAAGAUUAAAUUACCUUAGGGAUAACAGCGUAAUUUUUUUGAAGAGUUCAAAUCGAUAAAAAAGAUUGCGACCUCGAUGUUGGAUUAAAAUUAUUUCUGGUGUAGAAGUUAGAAUAAUUAAGUCUGUUCGACUUUUAAAAUUUUACA